rnacentral:rRNA from 1 species
UAGGGAAUCUUCCACAAUGGACGCAAGUCUGAUGGAGCAACGCCGCGUGAGUGAAGAAGGUUUUCGGACCGUAAAGCUCUGUUGUUGGUGAAGAAGGAUAGAGGUAGUAACUGGCCUUUAUUCGAUACGGUAAUCAACCAGAAAGUCACGGCUAACUACGUGCCAGCAGCCGCGGUAAUACGUAGGUGGCAAGCGUUGUCCGGAUUUAUUGGGCGUAAAGCGAGCGCAGGCGGAAGAAUAAGUCUGAUGUGAAAGCCCUCGGCUUAACCGAGGAAUUGCAUCGGAAACUGUUUUUCUUGAGUGCAGAAGAGGAGAGUAGAACUCCAUGUGUAGCGGUGGAAUGCGUAGAUAUAUGGAAGAAUACCAGUGGCGAAGGCGGCUCUCUGGUCUGCAACUGACGCUGAGGCUCGAAAGCAUGGGUAGCGAACAGGAUUAGAUACCCUGGUAGUCCAUGCCGUAAACGAUGAGUGCUAAGUGUUGGGAGGCUUCCGCCUCUCAGUGCUGCAGCUAACGCAUUAAGCACUCCGCCUGGGGGAGUACGACCGCAAGGUUGAAAC